rnacentral:tRNA from 3 species
GCCCACGUGGCGGAAUUGGUAGACGCGCACGGUUCAGGUCCGUGUGUUGAGAGACGUGGGGGUUCAAAUCCCUCCGUGGGCACCA